rnacentral:rRNA from 1 species
GGGUUGUGAGGUUAAGCGACUAAGCGUACACGGUGGAUGCCCUGGCAGUCAGAGGCGAUGAAGGGCGUGCUAAUCUGCGAUAAGCGCCGGUAAGGUGAUAUGAACCGUUAUAACCGGCGAUACCCGAAUGGGGAAACCCAGUGUGAUUCGUCACACUAUCAUUAACUGAAUCCAUAGGUUAAUGAGGCGAACCGGGGGAACUGAAACAUCUAAGUACCCCGAGGAAAAGAAAUCAACCGAGAUUCCCCAGUAGCGGCGAGCGAACGGGGAGGAGCCCAGAGCCUGAAUCAGCAUGUGUGUUAGUGGAAGCGUCUGGAAAGGCGCGCGAUACAGGGUGACAGCCCCGUACACAAAAGCGCAUGUGCUGUGAGCUCGAUGAGUAGGGCGGGACACGUGGUAUCCUGUCUGAAUAUGGGGGACCAUCCUCCAAGGCUAAAUACUCCUGACUGACCGAUAGUGAACCAGUACCGUGAGGGAAAGGCGAAAAGAACCCCGGCGAGGGGAGUGAAAAGAACCUGAAACCGUGUACGUACAAGCAGUGGGAGCACAGGUUUACCUGUGUGACUGCGUACCUUUUGUAUAAUGGGUCAGCGACUUAUAUUCUGUAGCAAGGUUAACCGUAUAGGGGAGCCGGAGGGAAACCGAGUCUUAACCGGGCGUUAAGUUGCAGGGUAUAGACCCGAAACCCGGUGAUCUAGCCAUGGGCAGGUUGAAGGUUGGGUAACACUAACUGGAGGACCGAACCGACUAAUGUUGAAAAAUUAGCGGAUGACCUGUGGCUGGGGGUGAAAGGCCAAUCAAACCGGGAGAUAGCUGGUUCUCCCCGAAAGCUAUUUAGGUAGCGCCUCGUGAACUCAUCUCCGGGGGUAGAGCACUGUUUCGGCUAGGGGGCCAUCCCGGCUUACCAACCCGAUGCAAACUGCGAAUACCGGAGAAUGUUAUCACGGGAGACACACGGCGGGUGCUAACGUCCGUCGUGAAGAGGGAAACAACCCAGACCGCCAGCUAAGGUCCCAAAGUCAUGGUUAAGUGGGAAACGAUGUGGGAAGGCCCAGACAGCCAGGAUGUUGGCUUAGAAGCAGCCAUCAUUUAAAGAAAGCGUAAUAGCUCACUGGUCGAGUCGGCCUGCGCGGAAGAUGUAACGGGGCUAAACCAUGCACCGAAGCUGCGGCAGCGACACUCAGGUGUUGUUGGGUAGGGGAGCGUUCUGUAAGCCUGCGAAGGUGGCCUGUGAGGGUUGCUGGAGGUAUCAGAAGUGCGAAUGCUGACAUAAGUAACGAUAAAGCGGGUGAAAAGCCCGCUCGCCGGAAGACCAAGGGUUCCUGUCCAACGUUAAUCGGGGCAGGGUGAGUCGACCCCUAAGGCGAGGCCGAAAGGCGUAGUCGAUGGGAAACGGGUUAAUAUUCCCGUACUUGGUGUUACUGCGAAGGGGGGACGGAGAAGGCUAUGUUGGCCGGGCGACGGUUGUCCCGGUUUAAGCGUGUAGGUGUGUGUUCCAGGUAAAUCCGGUUCACUUUAACACUGAGGCGUGACGACGAGGCACUACGGUGCUGAAGCAACAAAUGCCCUGCUUCCAGGAAAAGCCUCUAAGCAUCAGGUAACAUCAAAUCGUACCCCAAACCGACACAGGUGGUCAGGUAGAGAAUACCAAGGCGCUUGAGAGAACUCGGGUGAAGGAACUAGGCAAAAUGGUGCCGUAACUUCGGGAGAAGGCACGCUGACACGUAGGUGAAGUGAUUUACUCAUGGAGCUGAAGUCAGUCGAAGAUACCAGCUGGCUGCAACUGUUUAUUAAAAACACAGCACUGUGCAAACACGAAAGUGGACGUAUACGGUGUGACGCCUGCCCGGUGCCGGAAGGUUAAUUGAUGGGGUCAGCGCAAGCGAAGCUCCUGAUCGAAGCCCCGGUAAACGGCGGCCGUAACUAUAACGGUCCUAAGGUAGCGAAAUUCCUUGUCGGGUAAGUUCCGACCUGCACGAAUGGCGUAAUGAUGGCCAGGCUGUCUCCACCCGAGACUCAGUGAAAUUGAACUCGCUGUGAAGAUGCAGUGUACCCGCGGCAAGACGGAAAGACCCCGUGAACCUUUACUAUAGCUUGACACUGAACAUUGAGCCUUGAUGUGUAGGAUAGGUGGGAGGCUUUGAAGUGUGGACGCCAGUCUGCAUGGAGCCGACCUUGAAAUACCACCCUUUAAUGUUUGAUGUUCUAACGUGGACCCGUAAUCCGGGUUGCGGACAGUGUCUGGUGGGUAGUUUGACUGGGGCGGUCUCCUCCUAAAGAGUAACGGAGGAGCACGAAGGUUGGCUAAUCCUGGUCGGACAUCAGGAGGUUAGUGCAAUGGCAUAAGCCAGCUUGACUGCGAGCGUGACGGCGCGAGCAGGUGCGAAAGCAGGUCAUAGUGAUCCGGUGGUUCUGAAUGGAAGGGCCAUCGCUCAACGGAUAAAAGGUACUCCGGGGAUAACAGGCUGAUACCGCCCAAGAGUUCAUAUCGACGGCGGUGUUUGGCACCUCGAUGUCGGCUCAUCACAUCCUGGGGCUGAAGUAGGUCCCAAGGGUAUGGCUGUUCGCCAUUUAAAGUGGUACGCGAGCUGGGUUUAGAACGUCGUGAGACAGUUCGGUCCCUAUCUGCCGUGGGCGCUGGAGAACUGAGGGGGCUGCUCCUAGUACGAGAGGACCGGAGUGGACGCAUCACUGGUGUUCGGGUUGUCAUGCCAAUGGCACUGCCCGGUAGCUAAAUGCGGAAGAGAUAAGUGCUGAAAGCAUCUAAGCACGAAACUUGCCCCGAGAUGAGUUCUCCCUGAGACUUAGAGUCUCCUGAAGGAACGUUGAAGACGACGACGUUGAUAGGCCGGGUGUGUAAGCGCAGCGAUGCGUUGAGCUAACCGGUACUAAUGAACCGUGAGGCUUAACCUUACAACGCCGAAG